rnacentral:rRNA from 1 species
GGACUACCGGGGUAUCUAAUCCCGUUCGCUCCCCUAGCUUUCGCCCCUGAGCGUCAGGUACCAUCCAGGACAUUGCCUUCGCCAUUGGUGUUCUUCCAGAUAUCUACGCAUUUCACCACUACACCUGGAGUUCCAUGUCCCUCUCUGGCCCUCAAGUCUGUCAGUCUUCGAGGCACUUACUCGGUUAAGCCGAGCACUGUCACCCCAAACUUAGCAGACCGCCUGCGAGCGCUUUACGCCCAAUAAAUCCGGACAACGCUUGCCCCCUACGUAUUACCGCGGCUGCUGGCAC